ACCCAUUUCCUUAAACAGAGCUGCAAAAAUACUUUCACUUUCCCUUUCGAUGGAUGUAAGGCGGUAACGAAUGAAAUAUAAGACAGCUGAGCUCUAUAAAACUGAAGAGGAGAGGGAAACAAAGGACUUCAGUUUGGAGGUGUAAAUUUUACCAUGAGUCAGUCUGAAGACAAAGCUGGAGGGGGGGGGGGACACGAGAGCUCGACCGAACCACACAAGACCCAGCAGCAGAGAUCAUCCGCUCCUGCACGCAGCCUUGAGUCCAUGAGAAGCAACCGUUCUAUGGAUUUCCAGCCUCAUUUUAAAGGACAAGAUUCUUCAGAAACGAAGUAUGUCUCUAUUUAAAGGAAACAUUCUGAGGGCAGUUAAAGUAUGUAUUGCUAUAUCUAUAUCUUAAUAAAAGCACUAAAUGAUA